UCUGCUGCACCAUCUCACCGCGCGAGGAGUGGAUGAGGACAUGGUGCUCUACUGCUUCAGUUUCUCCACUUGUACUGGAGAGAACACUCACGGUUCACGAAAAGGACGUCAUCGGCAUCUCUCAUCACCCACAUCAGAAUCUGGUGGCCACGUACAGCGAAGAUGGACUACUCAAGCUUUGGAAACCUUAGCCCCAAUAGACAAUAGCUCGGCGGUGUCCAAAAACGUGGGUUGGAUAACAGCUCAACGGUGUCCAAUUAAUAGAAAAUAUGGUUUUGCUGGCAUAAGACUUGUACAGUAUGGUGUUGCUGGCAUAAGACUUUAAAAAUAUGUUGUUGCUGACAAUAUACUUGAAAAGUAUAAUGUUGUUCGCGUAUGGCUUUAAAGAAAUGUGAAAGAUGGAACAGAAAAAAUUGCUUUUCUAUUCAUCUUAAUUUUUGUACAUUUGUGUUGAAUUUUAUGUACUUUUUAUGUCAUCUAAGCUAAUGUUGAGUUAUUGUUGUCACCGUAGGUCUGGCGUCGUGUGUUGGAAACUUUUAGCUUUUUAUUACACUGGACGCCUCAUUUUUCACCCAAACUUGAUAAAACUUGCUCCUAAUUUUUUACUUGAAAAUAUCUAGGCCGAUUUCAAAUCUGGAUCACAGAAACUAUGUCAGCUGGUCGAAUCUUAGAACAACAUUGUCACUACUUUAGAGGACUUAUUAUGACUCAAUAUUGACAAUAUUGAUGGAACCUGGUCAGAAGGAAAAUCUUUACAAUGUCUAGGCCGAGUUUGCCUAAAAACUAGGUUACAAGGUCUUAGAAAAAAAAAAAAAUUUGAUGAGGCAACAUUUAUGACACAAAUAUUAUGAAACUUUGUCAAAAUGUUUAUCUUGAUACUAUAUAAGUGAAGUCACUUGAUUCUGGGUCACUUGUGUCCAAAAACUAAGUCCAUUUGGUCAAAUCUUAGAAAAACUUGUCUACAGUUUUGAAUCCACAUUUAAAUCUCGAAUUUGAUGAAACUGAUCAAAAUGUUUAUCUUUACAAUGUCUUGGCAGAGUUCAAGUCUGUGUAGUCUGGUAAAUCAAAACUUACAAACUUGAUUAACCUUGAGAAUACCUAGGCCGAUUCUUCUGUGUUAUAUGUGUCUCAAAGCUAGGUCACGAUGUAAAGUUUCGAUUUUUUCAACGCAUUUUAUGUCAAGACUGGAAACAAAUACAUAUAGAAAUACAUAUGCAACAAAUCUAAAGUCAUACGUUAUCUAUAUGAUUUUAGACAGUGACGUACAAAGCAAUUAUCAUAGUACAGUCGGAAAAAUCCGUUCUAUAACUUUACCAUACAAGAAAGAAAUACUUCAAUAUAAUACACAGAAUUUAAAACUUAUGCUUAAUGUCUUAGUACAUGUUUUUUAAUGAAAUAUUCUACAAAACUUUUUAUUACAAGACUGGUAACAAACACAUAGAGAAAUACAUAUGCAAGUAUAAGUACAUAUGCAACUUAAGUUUCGUAAAUUAGUUUCAACACAAACUCAGUUUUGCCCUUCAGGGGCAAAUUGUUUAUAUAUCCAAGGCCCAUGACAUGCAAGGCAUUAAGCAUGCAUAUUCCAUCCGUAUGUAUGUAAUUUCAUGUGUUUGUGUCCGUAUGUCCGAAAAUUUAGUGAUAUGAACUCCUGUUCAAAUUGGAAGACUUUUUAAGAGUAAGUGAUCUUAAAGGAAGAGCAUAAAAGAAUUAUGUAUGCAACUUAUUUGUUCUAAAUUGUGACUCUGUUUUUCACUUAUUUGAACAUAAAUAUAGUUGACGAGCAAAACUAAUUAUUGGUGACUCGACAUAUGUGUGUUCCAAACAAGUUUGUUCUGGGUGUCAGUGUGUGUGACAUAAUUCUAGUUGUAAGUUUUAAAAACUGCUUCUUAGAUACAGCAGAAUUUAAUUUGUUAAUGGAGUAUUUGUAGCGUAUGAAGAAAAUGCCUUCCUACCCUAAAGCAUGACUAAAGCAUGACUGAUCCAGGCAUACUUUUGAUCAGUUGUGAUGUUUUCUAAUGUGUUUUGUGUUUUAAAACGUCAAUAAAACAUUUUGAACUUUAAA